ensembl:lncRNA
CUUCUCUCUUCUCUCACAUGUCUUGUCUCUCCACUGUAUCUAUCUAACAAAGCCAAAAGAAAUUAGGAAUCGGCAGUAAUUCUGCAUUUACCUACUUAUAUUCAGUGUCAGCCGUGGCUUUGGGUAGAUAGCAUAUUAAGCAGCUUGUUGGCAUUGUUAAACGGGCACAUUGCUUUCCUUCUCUGCCCAGUAAACAGAGAGUCUGUGUUGAGCUUGAUGAAGUCAGUUGGUCUCUUUAAGGCAUGAGUUGUUCUCAGUUGUCAGCCUGUAUCUCCAGCUUCUCAUUUGGGUUGAACAUAGCAAGGCUGCUGUGUUGUAGUUCCAGUUAACCUGUCAGCCCAGCCAUCAAACUAGAGCGGAACUGAUUUGUUGUACUUGUUGUUGACAGUUUCCUCUGGUCGCCUUAAUCUUAUUUGCAUCUAAUAGAAACAUCUGGUGGCCUGUUUAGACAAAGCACAAACUAGAACGAAAUAUGACGCGUUGAGGGAAACAUGCUCCAAAUACAAAACACAUGCGAAGAGGAAAAGGCUACAUGCAUUGACAUGUUCUAGAAUGCUGCGAUGAGCAUCAACCUUACAGAUCAUUUGAAUUCUUUUUUGCUAUUGGUUGCAUUUCUGGAUUUGGAAGCACCUUUCUUUAAAUGCCUGUGCUUUCACUCUGUGUUUUGUCCUUUGGGGCCACCGUAGAAAAAAAUCGCCAUAGUAUACAAUGUCGAAAAAUGUCAUUUUUCAACAUGUUGUGAAAACGUGCCAUGUGAUGAAAUAAUGUAAAGGAGGGCAUGAAAAACACUCCAGAAAGGUUUUCUUUGAAAAAAAAAAUCAUCAUGAAUUUUGGCGCAAAAAAAACGCCUUACUAUACUAUGUCGAAAAAAAAUGCCAUUUUUCAAACAUGUGGUAAAAACGUGACAUAUGAUGAAAUAAUGUAAAGGAGGCCAUGAAAAACACUCCAGAAAGGUUUUCUUUGAAAAAAAAUCAUCAUGAAUUUUGGCGCAAAAAAAAACGCCUUACUAUACUAUGUCGAAAAAAAAUGCGAUUUUUCAAACGUUGUAAAAACGUACCAUGUGAUGAAAUAAUGUAAAGGAGGCUGUGAAAAACACUCCAGAAAGGUUUUCUUUGAAAAAAAAAAUCAUCAUGAAUUUUGGCGCAAAAAAAACGCCUUACUAUACUAUGUCGAAAAAAAAUGCCAUUUUUCAAACAUGUUGUAAAAUCGUGCCAUAUGAUGAAAUAAUGUAAAGGAGGCCGUGAAAAAUGCUCCAGAAAGGUUUUCUUUGAAAAAAAAACAUCAUGAAUUUUGGCGCAAAAAAAAUGCCUUACUAUACUAUGUCGAAAAAAAAUGCCAUUUUUCAAACAUGUGGUAAAAACGUGACAUAUGAUGAAAUAAUGUAAAGGAGGCCAUGAAAAACACUCCAGAAAGGUUUUCUUUGAAAAAAAAUCAUCAUGAAUUUUGGCGCAAAAAAAAACGCCUUACUAUACUAUGUCGAAAAAAAAUGCGAUUUUUCAAACGUUGUAAAAACGUACCAUGUGAUGAAAUAAUGUAAAGGAGGCCGUGAAAAAUACUCCAGAAAGGUUUUCUUUGAAAAAAAAAAAUCAUCAUGAAUUUUGGCGCAAAAAAACGCCUUACUAUACUAUGUUGAAAAAAAAUGAGAUUUUUCAAACAUGUUGUGAAAACGUGCCAUAUGAUGAAAUAAUGUAAAGGAGGGCAUGAAAAACACUCCAGAAAGGUUUUCUUUGAAAAAAAAAUCAUCAUAAAUUUUGGUGCAAAAAAAACGCCUUACUAUACUAUGUCGAAAAAAAAUGCGAUUUUUCAAACGUGGUAAAAACGUGCCAUAUGAUGAAAUAAUGUAAAGGAGGGCAUGAAAAACACUCCAGAAAGGUUUUCUUUGAAAAAAAAAUCAUCAUAAAUUUUGGCGCAAAAAAAACGCCUUACUAUACUAUGUCGAAAAAAAAUGCGAUUUUUCAAACGUGGUAAAAACAUGCCAUAUGAUGAAAUAAUGUAAAGGAGGCCGUGAAAAACACUCCAGAAAGGUUUUCUUUGAAAAAAAAAUCAUCAUAAAUUUUGGCGCAAAAAAAACGCCUUACUAUACUAUGUCGAAAAAAAAUGCGAUUUUUCAAACGUGGUAAAAACAUGCCAUAUGAUGAAAUAAUGUAAAGGAGGCCGUGAAAAACACUCCAGAAAG